AUCGGGUCUCGGCAGCUCCUCCUCCCCUGCAGCCCAGCGCCCCGCUCCGGCAGCACUGUGCAGGGGCAGGGACCGGGUUGUGUGUUGCACUGGGGAGAGCAGCCACAUGUCUGGCUCCGCACAGAGCCCAACACCAUGUUCUGAGCGGCGGGCAAAGGCUGAUAACACAGCAUGUAGGAGCAGAACUCAUCUGGAAAAACAACACCUGAAUUUAAGAUACAAACAGAGCAGCUAACGCCCAGUGCCGCAAGAGGAGUGUAAAUCCUUCACUAAACCUGGAGUGGAUCCAGUGUAUGGCAGUAAAAGAUUCAAACAUUAUCCAAAACCUGGAACAGGUUUAGUGGUAGUCUGGAUUGGAUUGCAUUACAUCAGGCUCUUAUUCAUGGAUUUGGAAUAGGGUUCAUUCACUUUCCUGAUGCAAGUAGGGUGACCAGACAGCAAGUGUGAAAAAUCGGGACGGGGGGUGGGGGGUAAUAGGAACCUAUAUAAGAAAAAGCCCCAAGUAUAGGGACUGUCCCUAUAAAAUCAGGACAUCUGGUCACCCUAGAUGCAAGCAGCGGACUUUCCGUUUUUGUGUAGAACUCCAAUGACAAUCCUGGCCUCUAGCAGGAUGAUGCAGAUCUCUUGGCUUGUAGUAGCUGCAAGAGGACCUUCCCUAAAUGCCCACAGCCCUGCAUGAGAGUCAAAUCAGCUGGCCUGGCAGAGAGACAGCAGGAGCAAAUGAGUGAUGCUUGUGCCACCUGAAAGUGAGAACAGGCGUUUGCAUGGCACUUUUGCAGCCAGCAUUGCAAGAAGUCUCGGAUGAUGACCCAGCACAUGUUGUUCAUUUUAAGAACACUUUCACUGCAGAUCUGACAAAAUGCAAAGAAGGUACCAAUGUGAGAUUUCUAAAGAGAGCUACAGCAUUCAACCCAAGGAUUAAGAAUCUGAAGUGCCUUCCAAUCUGAGAGGGAUGACGUGUGGAGCAUGCUUUCAGAAGUCUUGAAAGAGCAACAUUCAGAUGCGGAAACUACAGAACCUGAACCACCAAAAAAGAAAAUCAACCUUCUGCUGGUGGCAUCUGAUUCACAUGAUGAAAAUGAACAUGCAUCGGUCCGCACUUCUUUGGAUUGUUAUUGAGCAGAAACUGUCAUCAGCAUGGACGCAUGUCCUCUGGAAUGGUGGUUGAAGCAUGAAGGGACAUAUGAAUCUUUAGCACAUUUGGCACAGAAAUAUCUUGCGACGCCAGCUACAACAGUGCCAUGAGAAUGCCUGUUCUCACUUUCAGGUGACACUGUAAACAAGAAGUGGGCAGCAUUAUCUCCUGCAAAUGUAAACAAACUUGUUUGUCUAAGUAACUGUCUGAACAAGAAGUAGGAGUGAAUGGACUUGUAGGCUCUAAAGGCAAUUUAGUCCAGUGCCCAAUUAUCCUGACAGUUAGGAAGUUUUUCUCCUGUCCAACCUAAUCCUUCUUUGCUGCACUUUAAGCCCAUUGCUUCUUGUCCUGUCCUCAGAGGUUAACAGGAACAAUUUCCUCCCUCCUCUUUGUAACAACCUUUUAUUUACUUGAAAGCUGUUAUCAUGUCCCCACUCAGUCUUCUCUUCUCCAGACUAAACAAACCCAAUUUUUUCACGGAGGAAUACACAUAGCCCAGAAGAGCAACAUAUGUUCUAUUUCUGCAGUGAAAGUGUUAAUUGUGUGUAACGCUGAUCGUGGAUUGGCAUCCUCAUGUACUGAUCUCAGGUAACUGGUACUUUAUGACAACUUCUUGCAUCUUACAUGUCUUGAAAGAUUCAUCUCAGUCAGUGCACAUCACAGACAGCAUCUGUAAUCUGAUAGAAUGAUGUAUCUGGUGAUACCAAAACUGUGAAGCUGUUAACUAUAGUGCACAGUGGUUUUGCUUCAGCGGUUUUGCUUAUAGCAAUCUGACCAUUUUCUGACCAUCAAAAGGCAUGGCAAUCUGUCUUGGAGAACUGUGACUGACAAUGAUAAUCUAAUGCUGAUUUUAUGCCAGUUUGGAUGGUGCCAUUCAUUUAAGAUGUGCAUCAGUUCACAUUAACUUCCAGAAUGAUGCUUGCUUUUGAGCUGCUGGAGGCAUCUUCCAAAAGACCUUUUUAACCUGGAGUAAUAACGGAAACAGAUUCUUACAUGAUCCUUAAAGGGCUAGCCCCAGUUAUGGAAGCAUCAUCCUGAGACAUAUGCAGCUUGCUUGAUAUUUACGAAACUCUUCAUCACAAGGAAUUCGCUGAAAAAGCAGUGGCCCCGAGAUGGUGCCUGAAACAAGAAAGUCUUUGGUCUAUUUUUGAAAUCUAAAUACGGUGGGUGUGUUUUAUUUACUCUGCAUUAUCAGAGGAAAUCCGGGUUCGAAGCCCAGGAAAAUAACCUCAUUGAAGUGCAGCAGAGGCACAAACAAAGAGUUCCCAGGAGAUCGAAUCAACGUCACAACAAAUGCUCUCAGAACUAGAGAGAAAUUAGUUUAAACUGAUUAGAGCCCUUCUGGCCAGCCUGCUACCAGGGCCGGCUCCAGGCACCAGCUGACCAAGCACAUGCUUGGGGCGGCACCUUAGAAGGGGCAGCCAAUGUUGGGGCGGCGGGGGGCGCUCGCGGUGUUUUUGUUUGUUGUUUUUUUGUUCGGUGGGGUGGUGCUUGAGGGUUGUUUUUUUUCUUUUGCUUUUGU